rnacentral:rRNA from 1 species
UUGGUCAUUUAGAGGAAGUAAAAGUCGUAACAAGGUCUCCGUUGGUGAACCAGCGGAGGGAUCAUUACCGAGUUUACAACUCCCAAACCCAAUGUGAACCAUACCAAACUGUUGCCUCGGCGGGGUCACGCCCCGGGUGCGUCGCAGCCCCGGAACCAGGCGCCCGCCGGAGGGACCAACCAAACUCUUUCUGUAGUCCCCUCGCGGACGUUAUUUCUUACAGCUCUGAGCAAAAAUUCAAAAUGAAUCAAAACUUUCAACAACGGAUCUCUUGGUUCUGGCAUCGA